rnacentral:rRNA from 1 species
UCGCCGCCGACGACGUCGCGAGAAGUCCACUGAACCUUAUCAUUUAGAGGAAGGAGAAGUCGUAACAAGGUUUCCGUAGGUGAACCUGCGGAAGGAUCAUUGUCGAUGCCUGCAAAGCAGAACGACCCGCGAACCGUUUCUCGACACCCGGGACACCGGAGGGCGUUCGGCCGCUCGGUUUCCCGGCGCUUCCGGACGUCGGGGGUGCGGGCCACCCCCAGCGGACGGAGCACCAAACACUCCCCGGCGUGCAAAGCGCCAAGGUACUCCAACGGUAGGGCAUGCACCCGUAGGCCUGGACUCCUGCGCGCUCGGGUUGCUGCUCGGUGUCGUAAAUCUAAACGACUGUGUGAAUUGCAGAAUCCCGUGAACCAUCGAGUCUUUGAACGCAAGUUGCGCCCGAAGCCUUGGCUGAGGGCACGCCUGCCUGGGUGUCACACAUCGCGUUGCCUCCAAAGCCGUUUCCCCCGUAACAUCGCGGCGGUGAUGGUUUGGAUGCGGAAGAUGGCCUCCCGUGACCGCGCGCCACGGAUGGCCCAAAUUUGCUGCGGGGGAAGCGAAGCGCCACGGCGUCCGGUGGUCGUCAUAGCCCCCGAGGCAAUGAAGCCCGUGGUAGCCGCGAGUGUCCCCCGUCUACGGCCCUAAUCACUAACCAACGCGACCUCAGGUCAGGCGGGGCUACCCGCUGAGUUUAAGCAUAUCAAUAAGCGGAGG